rnacentral:rRNA from 1 species
UAAAAUGGGAGGUAAAUUUCUCCUAAGGCUAAAUAACGGCGAGAGACCGAUAGCGAACAAGUACCGUGAGGGAAAGAUGAAAAGAACUUUGAAAAGAGAGUUAAACAGUACGUGAAAUUGUUGAAAGGGAAACGAUUGAAGCCAGUCGUACCUUCGGGUAAUCAGCCUUUCGGGUGCAAUUCUGUGGAGUGUGAGGAGCUUAACACCUUCAUGCUUUGCAUAUUUGUUCUCUUGGGUGUACUUGCCCGUGUGGUUGGUUAACAUCAAUUUUGGUUAUCAUAUAAUGAUUGGAGGAAUGUAGCUUCGAUCUCGUAUUGAAGUGUUAUAGCCUUCGGUACAUGUGAUGAACGAGAUUGAGGAUUGCAACGGAUACCCUUCGGGCUACCUGUCUGGUCUCUGAUUGUUGCUCUGGUGCCGAAAGCUUGCUUACGGUUAUCAAAGUCGAUGGUCAAUAGGUUAGAACGGGUUAAA